GUCUAGUUGACGAAUCCAAACUAGGACGAAAUACGUGUCCUGGAU
rnacentral:hammerhead_ribozyme from 1 species